rnacentral:tRNA from 1 species
GCCCCCGUAGUUUAAUGGAUAAAGCGUCAGGUUCCGGACCUGAAGAUUGGAGGUUCAAUUCCUCCCGGGGGCA